GAUGAACGCUGGCGGCGUGCUUAACACAUGCAAGUCGAACGGAAAGGCCCUUGCUUGCUGGGGUACUCGAGUGGCGAACGGGUGAGUAACACGUGGGUGAUCUGCCCUGCACUUCGGGAUAAGCCUGGGAAACUGGGUCUAAUACCGGAUAGGACCAUCGCUUCGGGUCGGUGGUGGAAAGCUUUUUCGGUGUGGGAUGAGCUCGCGGCCUAUCAGCUUGUUGGUGGGGUAAUGGCCUACCAAGGCGUCGACGGGUAGCCGGCCUGAGAGGGUGUACGGCCACAUUGGGACUGAGGUACGGCCCAGACUCCAACGGGAGGCAGCAGUGGGGAGUAUUGCACAAUGGGCGCAAGCCUGAUGCAGCGACGCCGCGUGGGGGAUGACGGCCUUCGGGUUGUAAACUCCUUUCGUCAGGGACGAAGCGAAAGUGACGGUACCUGGAUAAGAAGCACCGGCUAACUACGUG
rnacentral:rRNA from 1 species